AAAAUUGUGAUUGAAAACCCCUUCCAUCUGAAGUCUGUGGAUAAUUCUUUCCACAGACUUCAGGUGGAAGGGGUUUUCAAUCACAAUUU